rnacentral:miRNA from 2 species
AAAAGUAAUUGCGGAUUUUGCC